GGCGUAAAGCGCAUGCAGGUGGCUUGGCAAGUGGCAUGUGAAAUCUCCCGGCUCAACUGGGAGGGGCCGUGCCAAACUGCCGGGCUAGAGGGCUGUAGAGGGGGGUAGAAUUUC
rnacentral:rRNA from 1 species